CUGGCUCAGGAUGAACGCUAGCGACAGGCUAACACAUGCAAGUCGAGGGGCAGCAUAAAAGUAGCAAUACUUGGUGGCGACCGGCGCACGGGUGAGUAACGCGUAUGCAACCUACCUAUCAGAGGGGAAUAACCCGGCGAAAGUCGGACUAAUACCGCAUAAAACAGGGGCACCGCAUGGUGAUAUUUGUUAAAGAAAUUCGCUGAUAGAUGGGCAUGCGUUCCAUUAGGUAGUUGGUGAGGUAACGGCUCACCAAGCCGACGAUGGAUAGGGAACUGAGAGGUUGGUCCCCCACACUGGUACUGAGACACGGACCAGACUCCUACGGGAGGCAGCAGUGAGGAAUAUUGGUCAAUGGGCGGGAGCCUGAACCAGCCAAGUCGCGUGAAGGAAGAAGGAUCUAUGGUUCGUAAACUUCUUUUGCAGGGGAAUAAAGUGCAGGACGUGUCCUGUUUUGUAUGUACCCUGAGAAUAAGGAUCGGCUAACUCCGUGCCAGCCGCCGC
rnacentral:rRNA from 1 species